rnacentral:rRNA from 1 species
CUUGGUCAUUUAGAGGAAGUAAAAGUCGUAACAAGGUUUCCGUAGGUGAACCUGCGGAAGGAUCAUUAAUAAGGAUACCGGGCAACCGGUAACCCCACCCGUGUCUAUCUACUCUUGUUGCUUUGGCAGGCCGUGGUCUCCACGGCGGGCUCUGCCCGCUUGCGCCUGCCAGAGGACCAAACUCUGAAUUUUAGUGAUGUCUGAGUACUAUAUAAUAGUUAAAACUUUCAACAACGGAUCUCUUGGUUCUGGCAUCGAUGAAGAACGCAGCGAAAUGCGAUAAGUAAUGUGAAUUGCAGAAUUCAGUGAAUCAUCGAAUCUUUGAACGCACAUUGCGCCCGGUGGUAUUCCGCCGGGCAUGCCUGUUCGAGCGUCAUUAUAACCACUCAAGCCUGGCUUGGUAUUGGGGUACGCGGUUCCGUGGCCCCUAAAAUCAGUGGCGGUGCCGGUUGGCUCUAAGCGUAGUAAUACUCCUCGCUACAGACCCCUUCCGGUUCCCUGCCAGAACCCCCCCCAUUUUUACAGGUUGACCUCGGAUCAGGUAGGGAUACCCGCUGAACUUAAGCAUAUCAAUAAGCGGAGGA